UACGUAGGGUGCAAGCGUUGUCCGGAAUUAUUGGGCGUAAAGAGCUCGUAGGCGGUCUGUCGCGUCGAAUGUGAAAACCCGGGGCUCAACCCCCGGCCUGCAUUCGAUACGGGCAGACUAGAGUUCGGUAGGGGAGUCUGGAAUUCCUGGUGUAGCGGUGAAAUGCGCAGAUAUCAGGAGGAACACCGGUGGCGAAGGCGGGACUCUGGGCCGAUACUGACGCUGAGGAGCGAAAGCGUGGGGAGCAAACAGG
rnacentral:rRNA from 1 species